GUCUACGGCCAUACCACCCUGAACGUGCCCGAUCUCGUCUGAUCUCAGAAGAAAAUAGCAAGAAUGGGGUUCAUUUAGGAGGACUCCCGGGGGAAAUCACAUCAGAAUUUCUCAGAAUGUUGCCC
rnacentral:rRNA from 1 species